rnacentral:rRNA from 1 species
UACGAAGGGGGCUAGCGUUGCUCGGAAUGACUGGGCGUAAAGGGCGCGUAGGCGGAUGGUCCAGUCAGAUGUGAAAUUCCCGGGCUUAACCUGGGGGCUGCAUUUGAUACGUGCGAUCUGGAGUGAGGAAGAGGGUCGUGGAAUUCCCAGUGUAGAGGUGAAAUUCGUAGAUAUUGGGAAGAACACCGGUGGCGAAGGCGGCGACCUGGUCCUUGACUGACGCUGAGGCGCGAAAGCGUGGGGAGCAAACAGG